rnacentral:rRNA from 1 species
UGGGGGAAUAUUGGACAAUGGGCGGAAGCCUGAUCCAGCCAUGCCGCGUGUGUGAAGAAGGCCUUUUGGUUGUAAAGCACUUUAAGCGAGGAGGAGGCUACUAGUACUAAUACUACUGGAUAGUGGACGUUACUCGCAGAAUAAGCACCGGCUAACUCUGUGCCAGCAGCCGCGGUAAUACAGAGGGUGCGAGCGUUAAUCGGAUUUACUGGGCGUAAAGCGUGCGUAGGCGGCUUUUUAAGUCGGAUGUGAAAUCCCCGAGCUUAACUUGGGGAAUUGCAUUCGAUACUGGGAAGCUAGAGUAUGGGAGAGGAUGGUAGAAUUCCAGGUGUAGCGGUGAAAUGCGUAGAGAUCUGGAGGAAUACCGAUGGCGAAGGCAGCCAUCUGGCCUAAUACUGACGCUGAGGUACGAAAGCAUGGGGAGCAAACAGGAUUAGAUACCCUGGUAGUCCAUGCCGUAAACGAUGUCUACUAGCCGUUGGGGCCUUUGAGCUUUAGUGGCGCAGCUAACGCGAUAAGUAGACCGCCUGGGGAGUACGGUCGCAAG